UGUAUUCUUUGUACGAGGAGCACUGCUGC
rnacentral:sRNA from 1 species